rnacentral:rRNA from 1 species
UACGUAGGGCGCAAGCGUUGUCCGGAAUUAUUGGGCGUAAAGAGCUCGUAGGCGGUUUGUCGCGUCUGCUGUGAAAUCCCGAGGCUCAACCUCGGGCUUGCAGUGGGUACGGGCAGACUAGAGUGCGGUAAGGGAGACUGGAAUUCCUGGUGUAGCGGUGGAAUGCGCAGAUAUCAGGAGGAACACCGAUGGCGAAGGCAGGUCUCUGGGCCGCAACUGGACG